rnacentral:lncRNA from 10 species
CAGGCGCACGUCGCCACAUCUGGCUAAUUUUUUGUAUUUUAGUAGAGACGGCGUUUCACCGUGUUGCCCAGGCUGGUCUCAAACUCCUGAGCUCACAGAAUCCGCCCACUUCGGCUUCCCAAAGUGCUAGGAUUGCAGGCAUGAGCCACCGCGUCUGGCAUUGUUUUUGGAAGAGACGCUACGGGUUUAGUGGCUAUUCCCUAAGCUUCCCUAUACUCAUGAAGUCUUCCUGUUGAAAUCAGAGUUUCCAUUGCCUUCAGCAAAGGACCCCCAUUAGCACUCUGAAAGGAGAAGCUGCCAAGAAACUGGGCUUUCUAAUAUCAAUGAGACAGAUAAGUUUCCAGAACAGCAGAGGCCAAGUGGGAGCGAUUAACUGUCAAAAAAAAGGUGAAUGUAAAUGAUACAAUGUUCAGCAAUAGCG